rnacentral:rRNA from 1 species
AGAGUUUGAUCAUGGCUCAGAUUGAACGCUGGCGGCAGGCCUAACACAUGCAAGUCGAGCGGUAGCACAGAGAGCUUGCUCUCGGGUGACGAGCGGCGGACGGGUGAGUAAUGUCUGGGAAACUGCCUGAUGGAGGGGGAUAACUACUGGAAACGGUAGCUAAUACCGCAUAAUGUCGCAAGACCAAAGUGGGGGACCUUCGGGCCUCAUGCCAUCAGAUGUGCCCAGAUGGGAUUAGCUAGUAGGUGGGGUAACGGCUCACCUAGGCGACGAUCCCUAGCUGGUCUGAGAGGAUGACCAGCCACACUGGAACUGAGACACGGUCCAGACUCCUACGGGAGGCAGCAGUGGGGAAUAUUGCACAAUGGGCGCAAGCCUGAUGCAGCCAUGCCGCGUGUGUGAAGAAGGCCUUCGGGUUGUAAAGCACUUUCAGCGGGGAGGAAGGCGGUAAGGUUAAUAACCUUGUCGAUUGACGUUACCCGCAGAAGAAGCACCGGCUAACUCCGUGCCAGCAGCCGCGGUAAUACGGAGGGUGCAAGCGUUAAUCGGAAUUACUGGGCGUAAAGCGCACGCAGGCGGUCUGUCAAGUCGGAUGUGAAAUCCCCGGGCUCAACCUGGGAACUGCAUUCGAAACUGGCAGGCUAGAGUCUUGUAGAGGGGGGUAGAAUUCCAGGUGUAGCGGUGAAAUGCGUAGAGAUCUGGAGGAAUACCGGUGGCGAAGGCGGCCCCCUGGACAAAGACUGACGCUCAGGUGCGAAAGCGUGGGGAGCAAACAGGAUUAGAUACCCUGGUAGUCCACGCCGUAAACGAUGUCGAUUUGGAGGUUGUGCCCUUGAGGCGUGGCUUCCGGAGCUAACGCGUUAAAUCGACCGCCUGGGGAGUACGGCCGCAAGGUUAAAACUCAAAUGAAUUGACGGGGGCCCGCACAAGCGGUGGAGCAUGUGGUUUAAUUCGAUGCAACGCGAAGAACCUUACCUGGUCUUGACAUCCACAGAACUUUCCAGAGAUGGAUUGGUGCCUUCGGGAACUGUGAGACAGGUGCUGCAUGGCUGUCGUCAGCUCGUGUUGUGAAAUGUUGGGUUAAGUCCCGCAACGAGCGCAACCCUUAUCCUUUGUUGCCAGCGGU